rnacentral:lncRNA from 1 species
AUGGGCAGAGAUCAAUGUGCUGAUAGUCUCUGUGUUUCUUUUCAGUCACUAAGUAUGAGGACUACUAUGCAGAUGUUUCAGGCAUGGAGGACGCAUCCAAUGCCCAGUUCACCGAGGGUGGAGAGCAAUCCAGGAGCUGAUCAAAGGCUCAGACCCCUAAGGAUGCUAGGGCAGAAGAGCCAACCAGAGAGGGAACUGGACACGAGGCUCCCCCGCAGCCUGGCCCUGGGCAGCUGCCCACCAGCAUCUGCAUCUCCUCCACCUGUCCCUAAAUCUGGGGGCAAAGACUCAGCUCCCAGGGAGUCUUCCAGGCACAAAGAAGGUCCUUCUGAGACAGGACGACCACAUCUGGAGAGGAGAAAUCAAGUGAGAUCCAUGGGGCAGAGACCUUUCCUGAGAAAGCUCUUGUCAUCGCUGCAGUAAUCCAAAGCAUGUGUUGUCAGACCCUGCUCUAAAUGCAUCAUGUGUGUUAACUCCUUUGAUCCUUGCAAGAACACAGGGAGGUGGGUGUAGUAUUGUCUGCAUCUUACAGAUACGAAAACAGAAGUACAGGGAGGCUAAGUGACUUGUUCAAAGUCACACAGUUAUUAAGUGGUAGACCCUGGAUUUGAACAUAGGUAUUCUGGGUCCAGAGUCCAGGCUCCUAACCCACAUGCUCUGCUACUUCUUGGAAAGUGAUGUUCAAACUUGAUAUUGAAAGACGCUUCCACUCUGUACUUCCUGAAUGUCCCCCAAAAGGCCUAUGUGUUGAAAAGUUUGUCCCCAGCUUGUGGCACUACUGGCAGGUUAAUGGAACCUUUAAAAGCUGGGUCCUGGUGUGAGGAAGUUAGGUCAUUGGGCUGUUCCCUUGAAGGAGAUCCCUUGACUUGAGAUCCCAGCCCCUUCUUGUCUCUUUCUUUGCUUCCCAGCACCAAAGGCAAAUAGGUUUCUCUGUCACAUGCUUCCACCAUGACACACUGUACGAACACGGGCACAAAGCACCAAGGCCAGGUGACCAUGGACUAAAGCCACUGAAAUGUGAGCCAGAAUAAACUAUCC